ACCCGCUGAACUUAAGCAUAUCAAUAAGCGGAGGAAAAGAAACUAACAAGGAUUCCCCUAGUAACGGCGAGUGAACCGGGAAGAGCUCAAAUUUGUAAUCUGGCCUUCGGGUCCGAGUUGUAAUCUAUAGAGGCGUUUUCCGCGCCGGACCGUGUCCAAGUCCCCUGGAAUGGGGUAUCAAAGAGGGUGAAAAUCCCGUGCUUGACGCGACGACCGGGGCUAUGUGAUACGUCUUCGACGAGUCGAGUUGUUUGGGAAUGCAGCUCAAAAUGGGUGGUAAAUUCCAUCUAAGGCUAAAUAUUGGCGAGAGACCGAUAGCGAACAAGUACCGUGAGGGAAAGAUGAAAAGAACUUUGGAAAGAGAGUUAAACAGUAUGUGAAAUUGUUAAAAGGGAAACGAUUGAAGUCAGUCUAGUCGGUCGAGAGUCAGCCUGUUCUGCAGGUCUACUUCCUUCCGAGGGUCAACAUCGGUUUGGAUCGGCGGAUAAAGAUGGAGGGAACGUGGCACCUACGGGUGUGUUAUAGCCCUCUAUUGCAUACGCCGGACCAGACCGAGGAAUGCAGCUUGCCGCAAGGCCGGGGUUCGCCCACGUACAAGCUUAGGAUGUUGACGUAAUGGCUUUAAACGACCCGUCUUGAAACACGG
rnacentral:rRNA from 1 species